rnacentral:rRNA from 1 species
GAAAACGGCACGUUGGGCCUAGGUGUGGGGGACAUUCCACGUUUUCCGCGCCGUAGCUAACGCAUUAAGUGCCCCGCCUGGGGAGUACGGCCGCAAGGCUAAAACUCAAAGGAAUUGACGGGGGCCCGCACAAGCGGCGGAGCAUGCGGAUUAAUUCGAUGCAACGCGAAGAACCUUACCAAGGCUUGACAUGAACCAGACCGGGCUGGAAACAGUCCUUCUCCUUUGGGGUUGGUUUACAGGUGGUGCAUGGUUGUCGUCAGCUCGUGUCGUGAGAUGUUGGGUUAAGUCCCGCAACGAGCGCAACCCUCGUUCUAUGUUGCCAGCACGUGAUGGUGGGGACUCAUAGGAGACUGCCGGGGUCAACUCGGAGGAAGGUGGGGAUGACGUA